rnacentral:rRNA from 1 species
UACGAAGGGUGCGAGCGUUAUUCGGAAUAACUGGGCGUAAAGAGCGCGUAGGCGGCUCGUUAAGUCAGUCGUUAAAGACCUCAGCUUAACUGGGGAAAAGCGAUUGAAACUGGCGGACUAGAGUACAGGAGAGAAAGGUAGAAUUCUCGGAGUAGCGGUAAAAUGCGUAGAUCUCGAGAGGAAUACCGAUGGCGAAGGCAGCCUUUUGGCCUGAAACUGACGCUCAAGUGCGAAAGCGUGGGGAGCAAAC